rnacentral:rRNA from 1 species
UACGGAGGGUGCAAGCGUUAUCCGGAUUCACUGGGUUUAAAGGGUGCGUAGGCGGACACUUAAGUCCGUGGUGAAAUCUCUGGGCUUAACCCAGAAACUGCCAUGGAUACUAUUUGUCUUGAAUGUUGUGGAGGUUAGCGGAAUAUGUCAUGUAGCGGUGAAAUGCAUAGAUAUGACAUAGAACACCAAUUGCGAAGGCAGCUGGCUACACAAAUAUUGACGCUGAGGCGCGAAAGCGUGGGGAUCAAACAGG